rnacentral:rRNA from 1 species
UACGGAGGGUGCGAGCGUUGUCCGGAAUCAUUGGGCGUAAAGGGCUCGUAGGUGGCCAACUAAGUCAUACGUGAAAUCCCUCAGCUUAACUGGGGAACUGCGCCUGAUACUGGUUGGCUUGAGUUUGGGAGAGGGACGCGGAAUUCCAGGUGUAGCGGUGAAUGCGUAGAUAUCUGGAGGAACACCGGUGGCGAAGGCGGCGUCCUGGACCAAUACUGACACUGAGGAGCGAAAGCCAGGGGAGCAAACGGG